CGGAGGAUUCAAGCGUUAUCCGGAUUUAUUGGGUUUAAAGGGUGCGUAGGCGGUUUGAUAAGUUAGAGGUGAAAUUUCGGGGCUCAACCCUGAACGUGCCUCUAAUACUGUUGAGCUAGAGAGUAGUUGCGGUAGGCGGAAUGUAUGGUGUAGCGGUGAAAUGCUUAGAGAUCAUACAGAACACCGAUUGCGAAGGCAGCUUACCAAACUAUAUCUGACGUUGAGGCACGAAAGCGUGGGGAGCAAACAGGAUUAGAUACCCUGGUAGUCCACGCAGUAAACGAUGAUAACUCGUUGUCGGCGAUACACAGUCGGUGACUAAGCGAAAGCGAUAAGUUAUCCACCUGGGGAGUACGUUCGCAAGAAUGAAACUCAAAGGAAUUGACGGGGGCCCGCACAAGCGGAGGAACAUGUGGUUUAAUUCGAUGAUACGCGAGGAACCUUACCCGGGCUUGAAAGUUAGCGACGAUUCUUGAAAGAGGAUUUCCCUUCGGGGCGCGAAACUAGGUGCUGCAUGGUUGUCGUCAGCUCGUGCCGUGAGGUGUCGGGUUAAGUCCCAUAACGAGCGCAACCCCUACCGUUAGUUGCCAUCAGGUGAAGCUGGGCACUCUGGCGGGACUGCCGGUGUAAGCCGAGAGGAAGGUGGGGAUGACGUCAAAUCAGCACGGCCCUUACGUCCGGGGCUACACACGUGUUACAAUGGUAGGUACAGAGGGCAGCUACCCAGCGAUGGGAUGCGAAUCUCGAAAGCCUAUCUCAGUUCGGAUUGGAGGCUGAAACCCGCCUCCAUGAAGUUGGAUUCGCUAGUAAUCGCGCAUCAGCCAUGGCGCGGUGAAUACGUUCCCGGGCCUUGUACACACCGCCCGUCAAGCCAUGGGAGCCGGGGGUGCCUGAAGUUCGUGACCGCAAGGAGCGACCUAGGGCAAAACUGGUGACUGGGGCUAAGUCGUAACAAGGUAGCCGUACCGGAAGGUGCGGCUG
rnacentral:rRNA from 1 species